CCAACUGGGCAGAGGAUCCUCCUCCCAUCACCACUGAGUGUGGCAUGAAAAGGGCAACAUUGUAAACUACCAAUCAACCACCUUCUUAAAAUAAACUCCAUCACCACAGUAUCUUUCAUGUAGACAUCCCAGGGAGUAAGCUGCAUGGUGCAAAGAAGGGCAUCUGGUUUUCACCCUGUUCUGGAAAUUAACAGCUCACAAGCUUCAGAAGCACAUGCCAGGAGACAGCAAAGACCCUACAGAUGGAAGCAGGAUGAUGCAUGGAUUCCUCAGCCUCAAGUACCAUUUCCCCCUGCCUUCCAGACCUGGGCAGUCACAGGGAGAAGCUGCAGGUGGAGCUGGGCUUACAGAGUGCUUUGGUGUCUGUCCUGCAGGAUCAGGGUAAGGACAGGAGGUUGAGCAGCAGCACAGUGAGGGCUCAGCAGCAGAUCAAGAGCUGCAGGAUGAGAAGGAUCAUGUUCAUAGCUGAUGCCCCUCCCUUGCAAAGAAGAAACAAAAACGCUGUCAUGGACACCUGGAAGAUGACGAUUGCUCAGCUUUCUCUGCUACAUUACCAAACAUUCAGAGCUAAAGAGUGAAAGCCAGCAAAGCUCUUGGCCUUUGCUUCCUGCAGGUGAUGAAUACAAGGGUUGUCAGAGCAUUCUUUGCUGAUAUUGGGCUUUCCAGCUGCAUCAAGAUAUGGGAUCUGAAAGCUGGACAUGGGAUUUUGAGGAGGUGAAAGUGUUGUUCCUGUGUUAUUCAUUAGCUGACCUCUGCUAAUCAUGUUCCAGGCAAAGGCCCUUACGU